AUUGAACGCUGGCGGCAGGCCUAACACAUGCAAGUCGAACGAGUGGCGGACGGGUGAGUAAUGUCUGGGAAACUGCCUGAUGGAGGGGGAUAACUACUGGAAACGGUCUCUAAUACCGCAUACCAUCGGAUUUGCCUAGAUGGGAUUAGCUUGUAGGUGGGGUAAAGGCUCACCUAGGCGACGAUCCCUAGCUGGUCUGAGAGGAUGACCAGCCACACUGGAACUGAGACACGGUCAAGACUCCUAGGGGAGGAAGCAGUGGGGAAUAUUGCACAUGGGGCGCAAGCCGGAGGCAGCAAGGCCGGGUGUAUGAAGAGGGCCUUGGGGUUGUAAAGUACUUUCAGCGGGGAGGCGUUACCCGCAGAAGAAGCACCGGCUAACUCCGUGCCAGCAGCCGCGGUAAUAC
rnacentral:rRNA from 1 species